AACGAACGCUGGCGGCAUGCCUAACACAUGCAAGUCGAGCGCCCGGAGCGAUCCGGGAGCGGCGCACGGGUGAGUAACGCGUGGGAACCUGCCCUUAGGUUCGGGACAACCGCGGGAAACUGCGGCUGAUACCGGAUGAUGCCCGAGGUGGAAACGCUUUGGGCCAAAGAUUUAUCGCCUUUGGAGGGGCCGCGUCGGAUUAGGUAGUUGGUGGGUAACGGCCCGACCAAGCCUUCGAUCCGUAGCUGGCUGAGAGGAUGGCCAGCCACACCUGGGACUGAGACACGGCCCAGACUCCUAC
rnacentral:rRNA from 1 species